rnacentral:lncRNA from 1 species
AUGAUUUUGAUGAAGAGUAUAUGGGGGGGCGUGGUGUAUGUGUUACUGGGAGCACUUCAGAUCUUUGGGACGGUGGGAGGACCUGAGAGGGAGGAACAAAAGUGGUUUUGUUUGAGGAUGCCUAGUGGACCCGGCAUCUGCCGAAGCCCUCACCCGGGAACACAGGGAGCUGUUUGCUUGUUUACAACAAAGACCGCAUGCCCUGCUGCGCCUGCUGCUAACCAAGAGGAACAGCGGCUUCUUAAAUCCUUGCCUACGAUGGUCCAGCAAGCCCAGACGUCCUGUCGCCUUCUCACCUCCUCUGCUGAGAGCUACAGAUCUUCCGAUGACAGACAAGGAGGGGAUGUGCGAAUGGUGUGCUGCAGUAAUACUUUGGGAAAGGAAUAUGAUCUCAAAAUAACCACCAGGAGAAGUGUGUCACGAAAGGUCACAGCAGUGGGGCAGAGGAAGUUGAACAGAAGAUUUCUAAAAAUAGACAGCAAGAGAUCAAACAGCAGUGACGAGGAACCGUUUCGGCCUCCAUUCCCAAGAGGAGGCAGGAGAAGCCGGCAGCCCUCACCACUCUGCUGCCUGUUCCUCCACCACCCACAGUCCUUUUGCAGAAAGGGGGUGGAGUAGCACAUGUCUCAGUCCUGUGGAUUGAUGGUUUUCAAGUGAUCUAUAGGAUAAUUUAAAACAAGUCAAGAUAUGGAGGAGUAUGGAGAUUCUACAUUACUGCCAUAUUUCUAGCAUCACAAGGAAGGUCUGAACAUUUCUGAGGUCAACAAUCAAUAAAUGGGACCUCAUAAAACUGAGAAGCUUCUGU